rnacentral:lncRNA from 1 species
CAAUAAACAAGAGGCUCUCAAGAGCCUGAAUCGCUCACCUGAAUUUUUUUGGUUUAAUCUCUCAUCAAUGAUUAUUUUGGCUUUUCAAUUUAUUUAAAUGUUCUUUGAAUCGUCCUAUUUUCUUCAAAAGCAAAAAAAAUCAUUUUCUCCUAUGUUCUAUUUUAGCCAUAGGAGCUAUGUUUCUUGACAUACAAGGAAAUGAAAUAUAAAAUUUAUACUAGAUACUCUGAAACUCUGAAACUCAUUUAGCCUAAGUUUGGCUGAAAUUGAUACAGCAGUUUCAUAAGAGAAGAUUUUUUAAAGUAAGUCAACAUGAUGAACAAAUUG